ensembl:lncRNA
GCCAGCUGAAGGAGGUGGUGAAGGUGCUGGAGAAGCUGAACAGGAGCGGGAGGUGGAAGUGGCUCCUGCACCACAGGGAGAGCAAGAAGCUCAGAGGAGACCUCAGGUAACGGCUCUGCCUGGGAAAUUGGGGACUUUUGGGAUGGAGCAGCAGGAACUUGGGAGCUGGAGAGCAUCAGUUAGCCUGGAACCCUGUCCUGGAUGUGGUCCUGGAUCAGGCAGAGCCCUGGCAGCUCUCCUUGCUCCCUGCUGGGCUUCCAUAAGGCUCUUCCCUGGCUCCUUGCAGGCUCCUGGGGAAGCACAGAUUUCCCUUGAGGAGCUGCACAUUCCCAAAACUCCCAAAGCAAACUUCCCUCCUUUCCCACCAGCUCAUCCCAGCUCCUGACACAGCCCCUGGAGCUCAGGACACCUUCCUGGGGCUCUGCCCCCUCUGGUCCUUUUCGUGCUCCACCGCAUUUGGGAUCUGGGGGCCCUGAGCUGGGGGUGCAGAGAAGGAAUUGCCAGUCCAGUUCCCACCAGGAGUGGUUGAAGAUGGAGCUGCUCUGGCAUGGCCUCAUCCAUGGCUCUGCCUGGGGUGGGUGAAGUGAGAAAAGUCCUGGGUUGGGAUACAGAAGUUUAAUGGGGAAAGGAAAAGCUGGGAGAAGCAAGGAAUUAAUCCCCAUUUCCCAUCACAGGCCACCCCCAGGAGAGCCAGGCUCCAUCAUCACCACCUCUCCCAACAUCCCCUCUCCUUCUCCUCCCAGCUUUAUGUCCUGAGCACGACUGCAGGGUCUGGAACAUCCCUGGGACAGUGCAGUCACCGGUCCUGGCCUUGUGCCCCCCCAGGCCCUGUGGGCUGAGCGAGGAGCAGCCUUGGCUUUCCCAAACCCCAGCACAACACAACACCCCUGACCCACCCACAGCUCCCAGCACAAACCCCAGGAGCAGCUCCUGAGGUGAAAAUGAACCAACCCCGGCCAAACCCAGCACAGGCAGUCCUGGAGCAGGAGGGAAUUCGUCACUUCGGAUCCCAAAACCACCUGGAAAGGCAGAUCCCGUCCUCCCUGGUGCAGAGGGAGGAAGCCCCUGAGCGCUGCCCUGCCCCUCUCUCAGCAGGGACGAUGCCAGUGCCCAGAAGAAGCAGCAGCUGCUGCGGUGGUGCCAGGGGGCAGAGCUGCUGGAGCCGCUGCCCUUCCACGGCUGCGACGCCGCUGCCGAGUGCCGGCGCGCCCAGUGCCUGCUGCAGCUGCAGGUGCAGCACGUCCGCGCCAGGUUCGCCGUGUACCUCACAGAAAAUCCCAGCAGCAGCAGCAGGGAGAUCCUGGAAAGCAAAGGAAUUCUUGUGGCUGACAUCAACACCUUCCUCAGCACGGUGCAGAAAGUGGCUGCUCCCUUCAGAAGAAGCUACUGGUGAGAGGGGAAAGCUUGGGAUUGACCCCAAAAGGCUGGGAACAGCUCAGGGCUGUCCGUGGGACGGCCAGCGGGGAGCUGGGAUCCUACAGCAGAGCAGGGACCAUCCCAGAGCGCUGGAUCUGGGAUCUGCCAGCACUCGGAGCCGACUCCUGCAGCUGGAUCCAGGAGAGCCACGCUCGGCACUGCUGGGAAACGGGAACAGCUCCGGGCCUGGCCCUGGCAGCUCUGCAGGAGCCGGGCACUGACCUGGGCCACGUCUCUGUGUUGCAGGUGACAGAGCGAGGCCACGAGGACAUGGCUCCUCCCCAGGCCCUGCGGCACCAGUCUGGGCACCCCGGUCCCGUGGGGGACAUCCCCACCCUCCACCACGGUCACUCCCAGUGGAUCCCAGCGAUCC